UACGUAGGGUGCGAGCGUUGUCCGGAAUUAUUGGGCGUAAAGCGCGCGCAGGCGGUUUCUUAAGUCUGAUGUGAAAGCCCACGGCUUAACCGUGGAGGGUCAUUGGAAACUGGGAGACUUGAGUGCAGAAGAGAAGAGCGGAAUUCCACGUGUAGCGGUGAAAUGCGUAGAGAUGUGGAGGAACACCAGUGGCGAAGGCGGCUCUUUGGUCUGUAACUGACGCUGAGGCGCGAAAGCGUGGGGAUCAAACAGG
rnacentral:rRNA from 1 species